rnacentral:rRNA from 1 species
UACGGGGGGGGCAAGCGUUGUUCGGAAUUACUGGGCGUAAAGGGCGCGUAGGCGGUGCCUCAAGUCAGGCGUGAAAGCCCCCGGCUCAACUGGGGAGGGUCAUUCGAUACUGUCCGACUCGAAGGCAGGAGAGGGAAGCGGAAUUCCCAGUGUAGCGGUGAAAUGCGUAGAUAUUGGGAGGAACACCAGUGGCGAAGGCGGCUCACUGGACCGGUACUGACGCUGAUGCGCGAAAGCGUGGGGAGCAAACGGG